rnacentral:rRNA from 1 species
AUGGCUCAGGAUGAACGCUAGCGGCAGGCUUAACACAUGCAAGUCGAGGGGCAGCGGGGAGGAAGCUUGCUUUCUCCGCCGGCGACCGGCGCACGGGUGAGUAACACGUAUGCAACCUGCCCCUGUCAGGGGGACAACCCGCCGAAAGGCGGGCUAAACCCGCGUACAUGCCACCGGGGCAUCCCGGAGGCAGGAAAGGCUUCGGCCGGACAGGGAUGGGCAUGCGGCGCAUUAGGCAGUAGGCGGGGUAACGGCCCACCUAACCGACGAUGCGUAGGGGUUCUGAGAGGAAGGUCCCCCACACUGGUACUGAGACACGGACCAGACUCCUACGGGAGGCAGCAGUGAGGAAUAUUGGUCAAUGGUCGGGAGACUGAACCAGCCAAGCCGCGUGAGGGAUGAAGGUACAGAGUAUCGUAAACCUCUUUUGUCAGGGAACAAAGGCGGGGACGUGUCCCCGGAUGAGUGUACCUGAAGAAAAAGCAUCGGCUAACUCCGUGCCAGCAGCCGCGGUAAUACGGAGGAUGCGAGCGUUAUCCGGAUUUAUUGGGUUUAAAGGGUGCGCAGGCGGUCUGUUAAGUCAGCGGUCAAAGCCCGGGGCUCAACCCCGGCCCGCCGUUGAAACUGGCAGUCUCGAGUUGGAGAGAAGUAUGCGGAAUGCGCGGUGUAGCGGUGAAAUGCAUAGAUAUCGCGCAGAACUCCGAUUGCGAAGGCAGCAUGCCGGCUCCACACUGACGCUGAGGCACGAAAGCGUGGGUAUCGAACAGGAUUAGAUACCCUGGUAGUCCACGCAGUAAACGAUGAAUGCUGGCUGUCCGGGGGGGAUUGACCCCUGGGUGGCGAAGCGAAAGCGAUAAGCAUUCCACCUGGGGAGUACGCCGGCAACGGUGAAACUCAAAGGAAUUGACGGGGGCCCGCACAAGCGGAGGAACAUGUGGUUUAAUUCGAUGAUACGCGAGGAACCUUACCCGGGCUCAAACGGGGAGUGACUCAGGCAGAGACGCCUGUUUCCCACGGGACACUCCCCGAGGUGCUGCAUGGUUGUCGUCAGCUCGUGCCGUGAGGUGUCGGCUUAAGUGCCAUAACGAGCGCAACCCCCGCGUGCAGUUGCUAACAGAUAACGCUGAGGACUCUGCACGGACUGCCGGCGCAAGCCGCGAGGAAGGCGGGGAUGACGUCAAAUCAGCACGGCCCUUACGUCCGGGGCGACACACGUGUUACAAUGGGUGGUACAGCGGGAAGCCAGGCGGCGACGCCGAGCGGAACCCGAAAUCCACUCUCAGUUCGGAUCGGAGUCUGCAACCCGACUCCGUGAAGCUGGAUUCGCUAGUAAUCGCGCAUCAGCCAUGGCGCGGUGAAUACGUUCCCGGGCCUUGUACACACCGCCCGUCAAGCCAUGGGAGCCGAGGGCGCUUGAAGUGCGUCGCCGCGAGGCGCGCCCUAGAGCGAAAUCGGUGACUGGGGCUAAGUCGUAACAAGGUAACCGU